rnacentral:tRNA from 1 species
CGGGGAGUAGCGCAGUCUGGUAGCGCACCUGCUUUGGGAGCAGGGUGUCGCAGGUUCAAAUCCUGUCUCCCCGACCA